CUAAAAGAGAAAGUACUCAACAGGCAUACAUGUCUUGCAGAGCUCAUUGGAAAAUCACUUUACAUGGACUGAACCAGAGAAACAUUUAACAUGGACUGUACUGGAGUCAAACUUUCCCUGGACUGUUCUGGAACAACCCCUCCCUGGCAGGCCUGGGCUGAAUCCCCAGUUCCCUUUGCAGAGUGAUGGGUCUGACCUGCUUCGCUGAACCGCCGCCUCCAUACAAACAGAUUACUUCACUCAUUCCUUCUGAGAAGUCAGUGGUUGUGGUGCUACUCUGCAUACUGACUUUGGUAGACCCAGGCAUAAACGGUUGUUGUCGCUGGGCAAGGAAUGUCUCACAUCUCUUGUUCAUGGUAAUGUCACAGAUGCAGUGGAUAGAGAUGUUGAAAGGUUAUCUUGGGCAAAUAAUCUUGCAGAAGUAAUGUACUGAUCCAACAGCAUCUUCUCAUGUAAAUAUGACCAAAGUAUAUUUACUGUAUAUCUUUCCUUUUCUUUUACCACCACUCUUAUUGAUGUCUAAUAGUUUUUAUAUUUC
ensembl:lncRNA